AUGCCCUUGAAAUUCUGGGAUGAGGCUUUCCUCACAGCCGUGCACAUCAUAAACAUGUUACCUAGUUGUGUCAUUAAUAAUGAAACGCCUAUGGAACGUCUUCUUCAUACUAAACCCGACUACACCACUCUUCGCGUGUUUGGGUGUGCCUGUUGGCCAAAUUUGCGCCCAUACAACAAGCGUAAGCUCAUGUUUCGGUCAAAACAGUGUGUCUUCAUAGGGUAUAGUGCUCAACACAAAGGUGUCAAAUGCCUUGAUGUCUCUACUGGCCGAGUAUAUAUUUCUCGUGAUGUAGUCUUUGAUGAAACAAAAUUUCCGUUUUCUGAUCUACAUCCUAAUGUCGGCGCUCUUCUACGUCAAGGAAUUCUUCUUCUCCCAUCUCACCUAACCGGCGCAGACCCACGGGGAAAUAAUUGUGAUGAUACAAUAUUGACUGACCCUCAUAACACCAGUUUGGCUGAGCUUUGUUGUGGAACAGGACAAGAAAAUGGCGAAGAAACCGUGCAAAACGGUGAAGAAAUCACCCUAAACAGGCAGUAUUUCAUGUGUCCAGCACCAGGGAGCAUAUCCCUCUCGGGAUCGUCACCGCCGCAGACUGCUGCGCAAUCUUCUGCGGAUCCGUGCCGCCGCAGGAAACCUGCGCCUCGGGUUUAG
rnacentral:rRNA from 1 species